UACUCCGCCGGCGACCGGCGCACGGGUGCGUAACGCGUAUGCAACCUACCUUUAACAGGGGCAUAACACUGAGAAAUUGGUACUAAUUCCCCAUAACAUUCAAGAAGGCAUCUUCUUGGGUUUAAAAACUCCGGUGGUUAAAGAUGGGCAUGCGUUGUAUUAGCUAGUUGGUGAGGUAACGGCUCACCAAGGCAACGAUACAUAGGGGGACUGAGAGGUUAACCCCCCACAUUGGUACUGAGACACGGACCAA
rnacentral:rRNA from 1 species